CGUUUCUCUUGAAUAAAAGAAGACUGGCAUAUUUUUCUCCUUUUUGCUGCAAGGAAGGCCUAACGAUAACACCGGAUUUGAAGCACGGUUCUCGGCGCUGAGCACACUGACGGGACCAAGAGGUACAGGAAGAAAGAAAAACACCACCUCUUGUUCAAGAAGGAGAUAAUCCCAGCUGUCGCACAGCCGCUCAGGAGAGCUGAGUCCUGUUUGAUCCAGUGGCUAAUUCCAGCUGAACAGAGCACAUCUUGUCUCUGCUGGCAUUUCAGUUUGAAGGACCUUACCACCCAAAAGCUGAUAUCUCCGUUUUUCCUUUUCCCUGCCCUGGUGGCUGGCAGUGCAGCUGCCUGCCUCUGGAGCACAAUGCAGCUGCCCCUGCACUGAACACUGGCAGCUUAAAGCAGAGUUAUGGGCAGCAGCGUUAAAGAACACGCUCUUACUCAACAGAGCAGUUCCAUGCAUACCCUGGAAUUAGAGCUGCUUAAUUUUCUGACCAAAAGCUUGUUUUUACUAUUGUUAGCACUGUAGCCAAGGAGCUCUGGGAGGGCAGGCUGGCUUCUAUUCUGUUUUGUGCAUCAUCAACCAAAUUGUCUGCUAAUUUCCUAUUGUGGAAUCUUUAUUACCAGCAGUGACCUAUGAGGCAGAAUGAAUAUUUUUGAAUUUCAAAUCUCGUGUGGAAGCUGCAGGUUGCCACCUAGAAAAAAAAAAUCUGACCUGUAAAUUUAGUAAAUAUGAUAGAAAAGUAAUUGGAAAUGAAAAAUAAGGAUCUUCAUUUUGUCUCUG
rnacentral:lncRNA from 1 species